AAGCCAGACUCCUACGGGAGGCAGCAGUAGGGAAUCUUCGGCAAUGGACGAAAGUCUGACCGAGCAACGCCGCGUGAGUGAAGAAGGUUUUCGGAUCGUAAAACUCUGUUGGUAGAGAAGAACGUUGGUGAGAGUGGAAAGCUCAUCAAGUGACGGUAACUACCCAGAAAGGGACGGCUAACUACGUGCCAGCAGCCGCGGUAAUACGUAGGUCCCGAGCGUUGUCCGGAUUUAUUGGGCGUAAAGCGAGCGCAGGUGGUUUAUUAAGUCUGGUGUAAAAGGCGGUGGCUCAACCAUGGUAUGCAUUGGAAACUGGUAGACUUGAGUACCGGAGAGGUCAUCGGAAUUCCUUGUGUAGCGGUGAAAUGCGUAGAUAUAAGGAGGAACACCGGCGGCGAAGGCGGCCUGCUGGACCGCGACCGACGUUGAGGCUCGAAAGCGUGGGGAGCAAACAGGAUUAGAUACCCGGGUAA
rnacentral:rRNA from 1 species